UAAUAUGAUGAUUAAACUAAAAGAUAAAGCUGGAAUUACUGGCUGAAUAAUCCGUGAUUGAUAUUCUUUUUGCAUAACUAAUACUGAUU
rnacentral:snoRNA from 1 species